rnacentral:rRNA from 1 species
AUACGGAGGAUGCAAGCGUUAUCCGGAUUUAUUGGGUUUAAAGGGUGCGUAGGCGGAUGAUUAAGCGUGAGGUGAAAUGCCACUGCUCAACAGUGGAACUGCCUCGCGAACUGGUUGUCUUGAAUGCUCCUGCCGUGGGAGGAAUGUGUGGUGUAGCGGUGAAAUGCAUAGAGAUCACACAGAACACCGAUUGCGAAGGCAUCUCACGAAGGGGUGAUUGACGCUGAGGCACGAAAGCGUGGGGAUCAAUCAGGAUUAGAUACCCUGGUAGUCCACGCAGUAAACGAUGAUAACUAACCGCUGGGUCGUAGUGAUUCAGUGGCCAAGCGAAAGCGAUAAGUUAUCCACCUGGGGAGUACGACCGCAAGGUUGAAACUCAAAUGAAUUGACGGGG